UAUAUUUUGAUGUAAGAAGCAUAAAAGAUUUUGAUUCUUUUUGAUAUAGUUUAAUUCUAUAAAAUAUAA
rnacentral:tRNA from 1 species